rnacentral:rRNA from 1 species
CAAUCAAACCGGGAGAUAGCUGGUUCUCCCCGAAAGCUAUUUAGGUAGCGCCUCGUGAAUUCAUCUCCGGGGGUAGAGCACUGUUUCGGCAAGGGGGUCAUCCCGACUUACCAACCCGAUGCAAACUGCGAAUACCGGAGAAUGUUAUCACGGGAGACACACGGCGGGUGCUAACGUCCGUCGUGAAGAGGGAAACAACCCAGACCGCCAGCUAAGGUCCCAAAGUCAUGGUUAAGUGGGAAACGAUGUGGGAAGGCCCAGACAGCCAGGAUGUUGGCUUAGAAGCAGCCAUCAUUUAAAGAAAGCGUAAUAGCUCACUGGUCGAGUCGGCCUGCGCGGAAGAUGUAACGGGGCUAAACCAUGCACCGAAGCUGCGGCAGCGACACUAUGUGUUGUUGGGUAGGGGAGCGUUCUGUAAGCCUGUGAAGGUGGCCUGUGAGGGUUGCUGGAGGUAUCAGAAGUGCGAAUGCUGACAUAAGUAACGAUAAAGCGGGUGAAAAGCCCGCUCGCCGGAAGACCAAGGGUUCCUGUCCAACGUUAAUCGGGGCAGGGUGAGUCGACCCCUAAGGCGAGGCCGAAAGGCGUAGUCGAUGGGAAACAGGUUAAUAUUCCUGUACUUGGUGUUACUGCGAAGGGGGGACGGAGAAGGCUAUGUUGGCCGGGCGACGGUUGUCCCGGUUUAAGCGUGUAGGCUGGUUUUCCAGGCAAAUCCGGAAAAUCAAGGCUGAGGCGUGAUGACGAGGCACUACGGUGCUGAAGCGACAAAUGCCCUGCUUCCAGGAAAAG